rnacentral:rRNA from 1 species
UACAGAGGGUGCGAGCGUUAAUCGGAAUUACUGGGCGUAAAGCGCGCGUAGACGGUUUUGUAAGUCAGAUGUGAAAUCCCUGGGCUCAACCUGGGAACUGCAUUUGAGACUGCAUGGCUAGAGUAUCGAAGAGGGAAGUGGAAUUUCCGGUGUAGCGGUGAAAUGCGUAGAUAUCGGAAGGAACACCAGUGGCGAAAGCGACGUGCUGGACACCUACUGACGCUGAGGCGCGAAAGCCAGGGGAGCAAACGGG